GAGCCGGCGCAUCAGAUGCUUUCCUGUUCCGUGAUGUGAAAGCCCCGAGACGAAAAGGAACAAAAAAUAAAAGCCUCGCCUGGCAAACCCAAGCUGUAGUGUUAAAACCCCAACCAAUUCUCAUGACUUCCACAGGACCCAUAAUUCUUUCCCAGGGUUUUCACUUCCGAGCCUGCUUUGAAGAAAGAAGAAAUCUUUUUCUGAACAACUAAGGAAACCUCUAAAACAAAUCAAAGCUGUGGGCAGUGAGCACAGAGAACUCAUUAA